CGGACCGGCGCACGGGUGCGUAACGCGUAUGCAACCUACCUUUAACAGGGGGAUAACACUGAGAAAUUGGUACUAAUACCCCAUAAUAUCAUAGAAGGCAUCUUUUAUGGUUGAAAAUUCCGAUGGUUAGAGAUGGGCAUGCGUUGUAUCAGCUAGUUGGUGGGGUAACGGCUCACCAAGGCGACGAUACAUAGGGGGACUGAGAGGUUAACCCCCCACACUGGUACUGAGACACGGACCAG
rnacentral:rRNA from 1 species